rnacentral:tRNA from 1 species
GGUGGUGUGACUCAAGUGGUAGAGUGCCUACCUUAGCAAGUUUGAGAACCUGAGUUCAAACCCAGUACUACCA